CCGCAUGCUAAAGGGAAGAUAGAAGUGGGACAAAUGGAGAUUGGACUCCUCUCUCCCGCUCUCUCGCUCCUCCAUCCGUCUCAUCGAAACCCACCCCAAUCUUUCCUCCGAUGGCACCUCCCCCGAUUCCAGUAUUGCUUCCUCGUCUCAUCUUGCGACAGGGUUCGUCCGCUCUUUCUAUCUAGGACGUGAGGUCGAAUGCUCUACUGGGACGGUUUUCAUCCGAGGAUCGGUGCCCCGUUGCUGCUUCCGCGACGACCUCUCGGUGUUCGCCGCCUGCUCGGAUCGGAAGGUCCGACUAAUUCCUUUGGCUCAGGUCUAGCCUCGCCAAUGGCUGGGAAUUAAAAUCUGGAAUGCACGAAGAAAGCUCCAACGAGAUUCAUC